GACGAACGCUGGCGGCGUGCUUAACACAUGCAAGUCGAACGGAAAGGCCCUGCUUUUGUGGGGUGCUCGAGUGGCGCAGGGGUGAGUAACACGUGAGUAACCUGCCCUUGACUUUGGGAUAACUUCAGGACACUGGGGCUAAUACCGGAUAGGCGCUACUGCUGCUUGGUGGGGGUUGGAAAGUUUCGGCGGGUGGGGAUGGACUCGCGGCUUAUCAGCCUGUUGGUGGGGUAGUGGCGUACCAAGGCUUUGACGGGUAGCCGGCCUGUGAGGGGGACCGGCCACAUUGGGACUGAGAGACGGCCCAGACACCUACGGGAGGCAGCAGUGGGGAAUAUUGCACAAUGGGCGGAAGCCUGAGACAGAAACGCCGCGUGCGGGAUAAGGGCCUUCGGGUUGUAAACCGCUUUCGCCUGAGACGAAGAGUGAGUGACGGUAAUGGGUAAAGAAGCACCGGCUAACUACGUG
rnacentral:rRNA from 1 species